rnacentral:rRNA from 1 species
GACGAACGCUGGCGGCGUGCCUAAUACAUGCCAGUCGAACGCAUUUUCUUUCACCGUAGCUUGCUACACCGAAAGAAAAUGAGUGGCGAACGGGUGAGUAACACGUGGGUAACCUGCCCAUCAGCGGGGGAUAACACUUGGAAACAGGUGCUAAUACCGCAUAAUUCCAUUUACCGCAUGGUAGAUGGGUGAAAGGCGCUUUUGCGUCACUGAUGGAUGGACCCGCGGUGCAUUAGCUAGUUGGUGGGGUAACGGCCUACCAAGGCUGCGAUGCAUAGCCGACCUGAGAGGGUGAUCGGCCACACUGGGACUGAGACACGGCCCAGACUCCUACGGGAGGCAGCAGUAGGGAAUCUUCGGCAAUGGACGCAAGUCUGACCGAGCAACGCCGCGUGAGUGAAGAAGGUUUUCGGAUCGUAAAACUCUGUUGUUAGAGAAGAACAAGGAUGAGAGUGGAAAGUUCAUCCCUUGACGGUAGCUAACCAGAAAGCCACGGCUAACUACGUG